GGACAGCCUGGUGGUUAGGGCUCUAGGCUGGGACUCUAGAAAACUGGGUUCUAAUCCCAGGUCCA
rnacentral:tRNA from 1 species